CUUCAAUGCAGGAAUGUGAUGGUUCACUCCACAGUGCUAUCAGAGCUGGAGUCGGGCCUAACGCCAACAGCUGAACAUCCUGAGGCCUAAUUAAAACAAGUUCCAAUUCAGACUUCUGAAGAAAAAUGUGUCAUGAGUUUACCAGCAGCUCGUUUGACACGUGACACUUUUCCUUCGCAUGAGCUCUGCACUUUCGGGAAGUUCAGUAUCACCUGAGCGUGGGCGGCAUGACUCAGUCUGAAACCAUAACAGAACCUGUCGGCCCCGUCCGGGAGGUACCGCGCCUUGCUCCUGGGACAGUCUUCAGGUUCCCUGCGACCCUGUAGGUGGCGUAUAGAAAAGCGGUAUUGAAAUGGAUGGAUGGAUGGAUGAAUGGAUAGAUGAAUGGAUAGAUGGAUGGAUGGAUGAAUGGACGGGUGGAUGGAUGAUGAAUGGAUGGAUGGAUGGAUGAAUGAAUGGAUGAAUGGAUGAAUGAAUGAAUGAAAGGAUGGAUGGAUGGGCAGAGAGUAUCAGUAAUUCUGGA
ensembl:lncRNA